GGACAGAAGGGAGCUUGCUCCCGGAUGUUAGCGGCGGACGGGUGAGUAACACGUGGGUAACCUGCCUGUAAGACUGGGAUAACUCCGGGAAACCGGAGCUAAUACCGGAUAGUUCCUUGAACCGCAUGGUUCAAGGAUGAAAGACGGUUUCGGCUGUCACUUACAGAUGGACCCGCGGCGCAUUAGCUAGUUGGUGAGGUAACGGCUCACCAAGGCGACGAUGCGUAGCCGACCUGAGAGGGUGAUCGGCCACACUGGGACUGAGACACGGCCCAGACUCCUACGGGAGGCAGCAGUAGGGAAUCUUCCGCAAUGGACGAAAGUCUGACGGAGCAACGCCGCGUGAGUGAUGAAGGUUUUCGGAUCGUAAAGCUCUGUUGUUAGGGAAGAACAAGUGCAAGAGUAACUGCUUGCACCUUGACGGUACCUAACCAGAAAGCCACGGCUAACUACGUGCCAGCAGCCGCGGUAAUACGUAGGUGGCAAGCGUUGUCCGGAAUUAUUGGGCGUAAAGGGCUCGCAGGCGGUUUCUUAAGUCUGAUGUGAAAGCCCCCGGCUCAACCGGGGAGGGUCAUUGGAAACUGGGAAACUUGAGUGCAGAAGAGGAGAGUGGAAUUCCACGUGUAGCGGUGAAAUGCGUAGAGAUGUGGAGGAACACCAGUGGCGAAGGCGACUCUCUGGUCUGUAACUGACGCUGAGGAGCGAAAGCGUGGGGAGCGAACAGGAUUAGAUACCCUGGUAGUCCACGCCGUAAACGAUGAGUGCUAAGUGUUAGGGGGUUUCCGCCCCUUAGUGCUGCAGCUAACGCAUUAAGCACUCCGCCUGGGGAGUAC
rnacentral:rRNA from 1 species